rnacentral:lncRNA from 1 species
CAGGAGAUUCUUCGUCGGGGAGUCUACUCUUUGCGUUGUGACAGUCUGCGCGACCUUCUCACUAUGAUCGCUCGUAGCAUCACUCUGGCCCUGAUGGUGGUCGUGGCCCUGUCUGCCUUGGCACUGGCCAUUCCCGCACCCGAGGCCGAGGCCGACGCCAAGGCCAACAGGAGAUUCUUCUUCGGACAUGGAUUGGGUGGAUUCGGCGGCGGCUUCGGUGGAUUUGGUGGAUAUGGAGGAUAUGGAGGAUACGGACAUGGAUACGGCUUUGGAUACAGGCCCUAUGGAUUUGGACACUUUGGCUAAGGACAGAAGCUGAGGAUUCGGACGAUCCUUCUCAACUCCUUCCCCGGAUGCUGACCGCUGGCAGGGCUGCGCAGAUCGUCACCAAACCUCUGCUUCUGCCUUGACAACCUGCCAACCUGGGAAGGAAAUGAAACUCUGCCUUUAUUUACUAUCUUCGUUCGACUUUACCUGUUCACUAAGAAUGGUUCAAUAAAUUGGUGUUUGCCUUGAAGAUUCCGUUUUAUUGAAUCCAAUAAAACAUUAUAAAACCAUUAUAAACCAGGGUUUCUCAACCGGGGGGCCAUGGAGCAAUAUGAAUAUUAUGACCAAUUUAAACUGAAUUUUGUCUCACCUAUAGUAGCAACACAUAUUAAUAAAUUGGAUUAUUUCCAUCAAGGGUUCUUGUCCUAUAGCUAUUGACACCAUUACACUAUUCAUAAUAAGUAACUAAAUCUGAGAUGACAGACACUGAAUGGGGCCAUGGAAAUUAUUACAUAUUGGUCGGGGGCCACAAAAAAAAAAAAAAAAAAAAAAAAAGGCGC